AUUGAACGCUGGCGGCAUGCCUUACACAUGCAAGUCGAACGGUAACAGGUCUUCGGAUGCUGACGAGUGGCGAACGGGUGAGUAAUACAUCGGAACGUGCCCGAUCGUGGGGGAUAACGAAGCGAAAGCUUUGCUAAUACCGCAUAAGAUCUACGGAUGAAAGCCGGGGACCGCAGGGCCUUGCGCGAACGGAGCGGCCGAUGGCAGAUUAGGUAGUUGGUGGGAUAAAAGCUUACCAAGCCGACCAUCUGUAGUUGGUCUGAGAGGACGACCAGCCACACUGGGACUGAGACACGGCCCAGACUCCUACGGGAGGCAGCAGUGGGGAAUUUUGGACAAGGGGCGAAAGCCUGAUCCAGCCAUGCCGCGUGCAGGAUGAAGGCCUUCGGGUUGUAAACUGCUUUUGUACGGAACGAAAAGACUCUUUCUAAUAAAGAGGGUCCAUGACGGUACCGUAAGAAUAAGCACCGGCUAACUACGUGCCAGCCGCCGCCGUAA
rnacentral:rRNA from 1 species